rnacentral:rRNA from 1 species
UACGGGGGGGGCAAGCGUUGUUCGGAAUUACUGGGCGUAAAGGGCGCGUAGGCGGCCUACUAAGUCGGACGUGAAAUCCCUCAGCUCAACUGGGGAACUGCGUCCGAUACUGGAUGGCUUGGAUUUGGGAGAGGGAUGCGGAAUUCCAGGUGUAGCGGUGAAAUGCGUAGAUAUCUGGAGGAACACCGGUGGCGAAGGCGGCAUCCUGGACCAAUAUUGACGCUGAGGAGCGAAAGCUAGGGGAGCAAACGGG